CAACAGAUGAUGCCUAUCAACUGUUUAAAGAUGGUUCUGCUAUCGCUCUUGGGAUGGGACCUGCGGGUGCAUUAGCUAGGUUGGUAGGGGUAACGGGCCUACCAAGGCGAUGAUGCAUAGCCGAGUUGAGAGACUGAUCGGCCACAUUGGGACUGAGACACGGCCCAAACUCCUGCGGGAGGCAGCAGUAGGGAAUCUUCCACAAUGGACGCAAGUCUGAUGGAGCAACGCCGCGUGAGUGAAGUAAGGGUUUCGGCUCGUAAAGCUCUGUUGUUGGUGAAGAAGGACAGGGGUAGUAACUGACCUUUGUUUGACGGUAAUCAAUUAGAAAGUCACGGCUAACUACGUGCCAGCAGCCGCGGUAAAU
rnacentral:rRNA from 1 species